UACGUAGGGUGCGAGCGUUAAUCGGAAUUACUGGGCGUAAAGCGUGCGCAGGCGGUUUGCUAAGACCGAUGUGAAAUCCCCGGGCUUAACCUGGGAACUGCAUUGGUGACUGGCAGGCUAGAGUAUGGCAGAGGGGGGUAGAAUUCCACGUGUAGCAGUGAAAUGCGUAGAGAUGUGGAGGAAUACCGAUGGCGAAGGCAGCCCCCUGGGCCAAUACUGACGCUCAUGCACGAAAGGCGUGG
rnacentral:rRNA from 1 species